ensembl:lncRNA
CAAUGAGUGACUGUUAGUGGCAGAAGUGGUGGUUGUCAGGUAGAGAGUGAGGUAUAGCAGAUGGCUUCCUGAACUUGAAGUCAAGGGUCCACUUACUAGCUGUGUGUUCUGAACUCGUCACUUGCCCUCUCUGGGCCUCUCUGGCCUCACCUGUAAAACGAGCUAAGAAGAGAGGAUCUCUAAAGUUCUUCUGGAUCUAAUAGUCGAAGACUCUGAAGCCCUGAUUCUCAUCCGAAGGAGAUCUAGGACUUAAGAGUCUUUUCCAAUGAGUCAACUCUUCGCAUGAGGUGGCCAAAGUGUGGAGUUUCAGCUUUAGCAUCACUCCUUCCAAAGAAAUCCCAGGGCUGAUCUCCUUCAGAAUGGAUUGGUUGGAUCUCCUUGCAGUCCAAGGGACUCUCAAGAGUCUUCUCCAACACCACAGUUCAAAAGCAUCAAUUCUUCAGCGCUCAGCUGUCCAAGAUACCUGCAUUUAAAUCCUUGCUGUACCUCCGGCAUCCCACAGGUUUCCUGCGUCUCUGCCCGGCCCCUUGGUGCAGGUGUCUGCAUGUGUGCGUGUGGGACGGAGGAGAGAGUGUGGCGCGGUGAGGUGGGGAAUAGCAGAAGAACAGAGUUCCCCUUGAUGGCCCCUGACCUGCUCUGUCACCAUGGCAGGUCUGUUCUCGCCCUUGUGGGGCUGGGCAAGGUGGCGGGGGCAGCCGAGCCUGACAUUUGAAAGAGCAGUAUCGCUGUCUUUGAGAUCUUGCUGCCACUGCUGGGACAUUCCUGACCAGGUGGAAUUCUCCUGAUGACAUUUUUUGGGGAUGAUCAUGUGACAACUCCCUGGAGCACAGAAAGUUCUGUUAUUAGAGCUGUGGACCUGGAUUUUCAUUCUGUCCUGACCACUAAUGAGCUCUCUGACCUUUCUGAA